GUGGAAAAUAACCGAAACACUGAAAAAUAGCCCCAAUUAAAGUGUAUUCAUUUACUCAGUUACAACGCAAUCCUUUUAUUUCACGAUUUUCUUUCAAAAGAUCCGUCUCGGCACUUUUCGAGACGAUCGCUGUUUUUAUGUAAUAUUUGUAUUACUUUAUAGUUUAUGCUGUCGAGCGAGCGGCUCUCUCGUAUCUCAGUCCGAAUCUUUCUAGAGUCGGCUCACUGUAAAUGGCUUCGGACAGUCCGAAUCUUUCUAGCGAGUCGGUUCCUUCUAAAUGGAUCUCGCUCUUAUAUACAGCUCCGGGAAGUCCGAAUCUUUCUUUUUUUUUAUUGACUGUUGAAGAGAGAACACCGGAAAAUAUUACAGAAUUAAUUCAUUACCUUGUCUUUUGUUGCUGUUACCCUGGCA